rnacentral:rRNA from 1 species
AAAUAGAUACCCCUGGUAGUCCACGCCGUAAACGAUGAGUGCUAAGUGUUGGAGGGUUUCCGCCUUUCAGUGCUGCAGCUAACGCAUUAAGCACUCCGCCUGGGGAGUACGGUCGCAAGACUGAAACUCAAAGGAAUUGACGGGGGCCCGCACAAGCGGUGGAGCAUGUGGUUUAAUUCGAAGCAACGCGAAGAACCUUACCAGGUCUUGACAUCUCCUGACCGCCCUGGAGACAGGGUCUUCCCUUCGGGGACAGGAUGACAGGUGGUGCAUGGUUGUCGUCAGCUCGUGUCGUGAGAUGUUGGGUUAAGUCCCGCAACGAGCGCAACCCUUGGUUCUAGUUGCCAGCAUUCAGUUGGGCACUCUAGAGCGACUGCCGGCGACAAGUCGGAGGAAGGUGGGGAUGACGUCAAAUCAUCAUGCCCCUUAUGACCUGGGCUACACACGUGCUACAAUGGAUGGUACAAAGGGCAGCGAAGCGGCGACGCAUAAGCGAAUCCCAGAAAAACCAUUCUCAGUUCGGAUUG